AUAAUAUCGAUGAACAACGAUUUAAAAUGACCUUUAAAUAAUGUUUAUUACAAGUUAUAACCAAAUUACAAACACAUAUAAAGUGAUAUUUAUAAUAUAAUCGUGUUGUUCCCUUGUCUCCUUGGGUAGGACAAUGUCGACCUAGAAAUUGAUUCGUAAAGCAGCAAAAAAAACUCGUUAUCUUUGAAAAGAGUAGGAGAGGUAAGAUGAACGAUGAGAGAAGAGGGGAGAGGUCGAGGUGAGAUGCGACGAGACGAUAACGCACGGUACCAGUCGUGUUCUUGGCGGCGCGGUAGGCAUAUCUAAGAGAAAAAAAAAAGAAAGAAGAAGAAUAAUAGAGAAAACGAGAACUCACCUUGCCGCCUUCUCCAUUCAGAUUUUGCUGAUGUUCGCAAAGGGCGCAAACCUCACCCAAUAGCUCGUGCGGUUUGAUGAAGAGCCUUGCACUUAGCAAAAAGGCAAAGAGCUGCACCGUCGCGAAUAUCCUGAUGAUCAGCGCCAGCACCAUUGACCAUGCCAGAACCAGGAACCCCACUACCUCCUCCACCUUUUCCACCGACACCACCGGCUGGAGUUUGCGGUGGACGACACAUUGAAGAUUUAUCGAGCAUGCUGGUCUCUUUCGAGUUUUACGAUAAAAUUUCAUGCACGAACUACGACCGAUAUGCUGAAGAAGAAGAGGAACGAGAUGAGGAGGUAAAACGGAGAAGGAGUGACAAAGAAGAGAGGAAAAAUUGGAUCAAACGGCCAGUUGAAGGGCUCACAGCCGAACGGAUAUGCGUCUUUCCGUUUGCCAAUCGUCCAUUCUUCCUUUCUCAAGAGAUACUCGUGAAGUUCCCAUUCGUCCCUUCUUCGAUAUUUCUCUUCUCUCUUAUUCAUCCUUUGUUACAUUGGAUUUUGGAUGAUUCAAGGGAAUAAAAAUGGUUUUGUCUAAGGGAUGAAAAACUGUUCGUUCAAUCGUUACUCUCCAGUAAUUAUGUUCGAAGCAGCAACAUAUAUCAAUUCCAUGGGAUUCGUUUUAUUUUUAUUUGUUUGUUUAUUUUCGCAGAAUAUGUAUAUUUCAUACGAAGUACGUACAUGUCUGUUUUAAAUAUAAUAUCUGAAAAUUCAAAUAUGUUUCCGUGGAUAACCAAUCGAAAUGAUCGAAUGUAUAAUAUCGAAUCGUGAUUAAAUUUUUCUGAACUCAGGUAAAAAUCUUUCAACUUAUUGUAAACUCUUGGAAUUAAAAAUGACGAUCUGACUGAUAAUAUAAAUUCAAACGAUAUUUCUCCUGUUCUCUUUCUUUUGAAUUUUAUCAUUCGUUCUUUUUUAGGUAUAUUUUUAUCAUUUAACGUUAAACGAUUCAAUAUAAAUUCAAGGAUAUUACUAACAUUAGUUAUUCUAAGUUCUUAUUUUUACGAGGAAUCUUUCAAAUUUUAUUUCUUACUAAGAAAUAUCUUUACUCCCAAACGUAUUCGAAUUAAAUUAUAUUUCAGAAUAGACUUCACUUAUAACUUAUAUUCGAAAAUAGUUAUACCAUAUUGCGUACUAUUUUUAUAAUUAAUUGAAUUAAUUUUUUUUAAUAAACAACUCUUUUAGAUUUUGUAGAAUUUUCGAGAAUAAUAAUAAAGUAAUAGAUAUAAAAUUUCUUUUAUAUCUUUACGUAUAAUAUUAUUAGAAAAAGAUGAUUUAUAUUUCUGAUAUUGUUUUAAGUAAUUUGAAUAAUACGAACAAAAUGUUUGGGCUCUUUUCGAAGGAUUCGCAAUAACUCUUGUGUAUUACAAAGUUUCGACCAGACUCGAUUCGUAAGCGAUGCACGAACGUAUGACGCGUCGACACAUUAAUCAUUGAUAACGCACGCGAUUGAGAA